CCGGCCACCAUUCCAGGGGCUCUGCGAUGCCGGCGAGGACAACUUCAGCCUCGUUGCCGGGAGCGGCAAGGCCUGCCUUGUCCUCACCAACAAAGACGAUGAUGCGUAGGUUGUAGAAUUGGAAGAGCUGAUGAGAAUUCUGCUUCUGCAUUUCCUUUAAUCUUUGUCAUGAAAGUGAGGAAAUGUUCAGCGUAAAUGCAAUAUUCACCACCAACAACAAGCUAAAGCAAAUCUACGCCUAGCCCGGUUUUCUGUUGUAGAUAUUCACCAACAACAACAAGCUAAAGAAAAUCUAUGCCUAGCCAAACAUCCGCAA